AAUAAAGCUUUGAAAAAGAGGAGUAGAGAUAAAAAGUAUUAAGAGAGGAAAACUCAAAGGCUGAAAGGUUUUCUAUAUAUAAUUUAUCUUGAAGGUAGCUUUGGAGCUUCUUUACUGAGUUUAGUAAGUAAAGACGGAUUUCUUAUUCGUUAAAUAUACAAGAGCCUGUAGUUUUGCAGGAAAAAAGGUGGUAACGCGAGGUUUUUCGUCCUUUUA
rnacentral:ncRNA from 1 species